AGUGAACGCUGGCGGUAGGCCUAACACAUGCAAGUCGAACGGCAGCACAGUAAGAGCUUGCUCUUACGGGUGGCGAGUGGCGGACGGGUGAGGAAUACAUCGGAAUCUACUUUUUCGUGGGGGAUAACGUAGGGAAACUUACGCUAAUACCGCAUACGCCCUACGGGUGAAAGCAGGGGAUCUUCGGACCUUGCGCGAUUGAAUGAGCCGAUGUCGGAUUAGCUAGUUGGCGGGGUAAAGGCCCACCAAGGGGACGAUCCGUAGCUGGUCUGAGAGGAUGAUCGGCCACACUGGAACUGGGACACGGUCCAGGCGCCUGAGGGAGGGAGCAGUGGGGAAUAUUGGACAAUGGGCGCAAGCCUGAUCCAGCCAUACCGCGUGGGUGAAGAAGGCCUUCGGGUUGUAAAGCCCUUUUGUUGGGAAAGAAAAGCAGCAGGUUAAUACCCCGCUGUUCUGACGGUACCCAAAGAAUAAGCACCGGCUAACUUCGUG
rnacentral:rRNA from 1 species